AUUGAACGCUGGCGGCAGGCCUAACACAUGCAAGUCGAGCGGAGCGGCGGACGGGUGAGUAAUGCCUAGGAAUCUGCAUGGUAGUGGGGGAUAACGUCAGGAAACGGGCGCUAAUACCGCAUACUAUCAGAUGAGCCUAGGUCGGAUUAGCUAGUUGGAGGGGUAAAGUCCUGACAAGGCGACGAUCCGUAACUGGUCUGAGAGGAUGAGCAUUCAUCAUGGAACUGAGACACGGUCCAGACUCCUACGUGAGGCAGCAGUGGGGAAUAUUUGACAAUGUGCGAAAGCCUGAUCCAGCCAUGCCGCGUGUGUGAAGAAGGUCUUCGGAUUGUAAAGCACUUUAAGUUGGGAGGCGUUACCAACAGAAUAAGCACCGGCUAACUGCGUGCCAGCAGCCGCGGUAAUAC
rnacentral:rRNA from 1 species